AAAUUUCAGAAAAUAAAUACAUGAUUUUGCUUUUAAAAUUGGGUACACCAAUUGCAAGACACAUUUUUCAAAUAAAUCUAGUUCUCAUGAAUAGGAGUUUUCAUUGUCCAUAAUUGUACAAUAUACUCUUUAUAAGUCUAUACGAAGUACAAGCUAGCAUUUAAAAUGCAUGUAAAUUAAUAAUUGAUCAGUUCUGCAAAAUUGUUUUACUGCUUUACAAAAUACAAAGGCCGCCACUUUUCAAUUUCAAAGUGUCGUUGAUUUUCUAGAAAUUACUAAACCACAAACAUUGAGGAUCGUUAACUAGCGAAGGCCGUUAUUGGACACACCUACUUAAAAUAAAACAUGCCUACUUUCUUUACUCUUCUUUGUUGGAGAUUGAAAAACACUGCAAUGUACGGGAUUGAAACAUAGUUUUAUCAACGAGCACUGCACAACAUGGCAAAACAGUUCAGAAGCAGAUGAUCAAUUGAAAUAGGCACAUUUAAAAGUUGUAUAUAUGUUACAAUAGAUAAUUGAGUUACAUGGACACAGCUAUGCAGCCAUUUAAUGAGAUAACAUGGUAUUCAGAAGUAAGAUUAUACCUAAUCCUGAUUGGUCGUUGUGUACCGCUAUAUGUUUUGUCUUAAGAUACUCCUUGCACUCUGCAUUCAACCAAAGCAAAAUUUUCCAUAGCUCUAAAAAAAACUAUAGUCUUUUCUAUGCUAUCACAAGAAACAUAUUUGCAGUGGGGAAUUGAAAGGCAAGGGAGGUGAGUAAAAUUUGCCUUUACAGAAAAGUCACUGGAAUAUGACAACUACCGAGGGAUGGUCUUGAUAAAUAUUGUUUUUAUAAUGUAUAUAGGAGGUCAGAUGUCCAUGACAACUACCGUGGGCUGGUCUUGAUAAAUGGUGUUUUUAUACUGUAUAUAGGUCAGAUGUCCAUGACAACUAUGGAGGGCUGGUUUUAAUAAAUGGUGCUUUUAUACUGUAUAUAGGUCAGAUGUCCAUGACAACUACCGAGAGCUGGUCUAGAUAAAUGGUGUUUUUAUACUGUAUAUAGGAGGUCAGAUGUCUAUGACAACUACUGAGGGCUGGUCUUGAUAAAUGGUGUUUUUGUACUGUAUAUAGGUCAGAUGUCCAUGACAACUACCGAGGGCUGGUCUUGACAAAUGGUGUUUUUAUACUGUAUAUAGGUCAGAUGUCCAUGACAACUACCUAGGGAAACUAUUAAACUAUUCCAAUAUGAUAUGUGUAAAAGAAUGCUUUGUAUGGGAAACAGAGACUGAUUUUCCAAGCUGGACACAAAUUAUAAUACAGAAUGGAAGAAAGCAAACAGAACCAAGAAAUACAAGUUCAUGUAUGAAUUGCCCCUCUAUGAAAAUCCAAAGAUGCAGGAAAAGAAAACCAUGAACAAGCUUCAAAAGAUAAAGAUGAUAAUGAUGAAUCAGAAUAGCUGAUAAUUAUAUUAUUUUUUUCAUGCCGGAAGAAGCGUUUUUAUUUUUUUUGCACAUGAGGAAGCUGGUGAAUUAUGUGCUGCUACAGAAGAGGAUAUAGUAAAUAUACUGAAGAGGAAACAUCCAAGCUAGUAGAUCUUUGUUGACUACACUUCUGAAAAUUUUAUAUGUUUACAGUUUCUGUAUCAUUUUAUUUUUAAGUUAAAUGGAUCAAAGUCUCUAUUGGAGGGGUUGCAAUAUUUGUGUCUAAUCAAUGUAGAAUGUUUACAAUGUAAUUGGAAAUACAUAUAAAGUAGAGUUGGUUUUUUUUGUAUUUGAGAAUAAUCAUAAGUAUUAUUUUUCUGCAGAUUUUAAUUAAUGCUAUGUAUAGCAGAAAUUAAAUAAAGCAAUUUCAAUAGAUAUAAGCACACAUGAAAGAAAUAUGUAGACAACAGUUAUUAUGAAACGACUAAUUACCAAAAAUGAUGUAGAAAUUGUGAGUGCUAGAUUAAUAGUGAUUACCAUACACUAAGUAUAAGUCGAAAUGUAUAUAUUUUCCUAUUUCAUUGUUUUUUAGAUUGAUAGUAGUUUCCUCAAAUGAAACAAAUAAUUACAGUCUUAUAAUUCUUUUUAGAUUGGAAUAUUUGGUUAUGAUUGCACAAUUUAGUCAUUUUUUCAUUAAAAAAAAUUAAGCUAGUUUUAUGGUAUACCUUAAAUGAUAUUGAUUUGUAAACCACAUAAUUAUAUAAGAGACAACAUUUUGAAAGCUACACGGGUUAUUCAGUGUGCACCACAUUUUUUAUGUUAUUUCUUCAUAGACAGAAAAAAUAUUACAGUCAUUCCUUAAAUAUGUUUUGGUUAACCAAAAUUGUCUAAAAAAAAUUGAUGAUACUAGCAGUCUAAAAAUUCUUUUGAGAUAAAAUUAUCUGAUUAUAAUUGAACACUGAAGUAACUUUUUCAUUGAGUUGUUCUUUUCUUUUUUGCUAGAACUUGGGUUUUUUUUUUAUUGUUUCACAUAUUAUAUUUUAUCAAUUUUGAGAACAUUUGUUUUCAAUUUUAUAGAAUAUAUUCGUGUAUAAAAUGUACUGGUACUUAGUGUGAUAAACCACUAAGGUGAAGCACAGGUUUAAGAAUUUAUAAAAGUUAGAAUUUUCACUCCUAACUAAAUUCCAAAAGUCACCUUUAAAAAUUUCUUUAACUUUUUUCAAAUCAUCUUGGAUUUUCAUAAAAAAUCUGCAGCUAUCUCAAUUAUAUAUUGAUCUUACAAAAUGCAAAGUUAUUUGGUAGUUUGUUUUAUUACUGUCAAAUUUAAGGAUUUAAUCAAUGGGUAAAAAAGCUGUAAUUUUCAUUUCGGACAAAAUUUAGAUAGUCAACUUUAAAAAGUUCUGUAACUUUUUCAAAUGAUUUUGAAUUUUCAUAAUACUCUUCAGCUAUCUCAAUUAUAUAUUGAUCUUACAAAAUGCCAGGUUAUUUGGUAGUUUGUUUUAUUACUGUCAAAUUUAAGGAUUUAAUCAAUAGGUAAAAAAGCUGGAAUUUUCAUGUCGGACAAAAUUUAGAUAGUCAACUUUAAAAAGUUCUGUUACUUUUUCAAACCAACUUUGAUUUUCAUAAUACUCUUCAACUAUCUCAAUUAUAUAUUGAUCUUACAAAAUGCCAGGUUUUUUGGUAGUUUGUUUUAUUACUGUCAAAUUUAAGGAUUUAAUCAAUAGGUAAAAAAGCUGGAAUUUUCAUGUCGGACAAAAUUUAGAUAGUCAACUUUAAAAAUUUCUUUAACUUUUUCAAAUGAUUUUGGAUUUUAAUAAUAAUCUUCAGUUAUCUUAAUUAUAUAUUGAUCUUACAUAAUGCCAGGUUAUUUGGUAGUUUAUUUAUUACUGUCAAAUGUUAGGAUUUAAUCAAUAAGUAAAAAAGCUAGAAAUUUCAUGUCAGACAAAAUUUAGAUAGUCAACUUUAAAAAUAUCUGUAACUUUUUCAAAUGAACUUGGAUUUCCAUAAACUCCACAGUUAUCUCAAUUAAAUACUAAUCUUAGAAAAUGCCAGGUUAUUUGGUAGUUUGGUAUAUUGGUGUCAAAUUAAAGGAUUUAAUUAAUAGACAAAAUUUAGAUAAUCAACUUUAAAAAGUGUUAUUACCUUUUUAAAUCAACUUGGAUUUUCAUAAUACUCUUCAGUUAUCUCAAUUAUAUAUUGAUCUUACAAAAUGCCAGGUUAUUUGGUAGUUUGUUUUAUUACUGUCAAAUUUAAGGAUUUAAUCAAUAGGUAAAAAAGCUAGAAAUUUCAUGUCGGACAAAAUUUAGAUAGUCAACUUUAAAAAGUUCUGUUACUUUUUCAAACCAACUUGGAUUGUCAUAAUACUCUUCAGCUAUCUCAAUCAUAUAUUGAUCUUACAAAAUGACAGGUUAUUUGGUAGUUUGUUUUAUUACUGUCAAAUUUAAGGAUUUAAUCAAUAGGUAAAAAAGCUGGAAUUUUCAUGUCGGACAAAAUUUAGAUAGUCAACUUUAAAAAGUUCUGUUACUUUUUCAAACCAACUUUGAUUUUCAUAAUACUCUUCAACUAUCUCAAUUAUAUAUUGAUCUUACAAAAUGCCAGGUUAUUUGGUAGUUUAUUUAUUACUGUCAAAUGUUAGGAUUUAAUCAAUAAGUAAAAAAGCUGGAAUUUUCAUGUCGGACAAAAUUUAGAUAGUCAACUUUAAAAAGUUCUGUUACUUUUUCAAACCAACUUGGAUUUUCAUAAUACUCUUCAGCUAUCUCAAUUAUAUAUUGAUCUUACAAAAUGACAGGUUAUUUGGUAGUUUGGUAUAUUGGUGUCAAAUUAAAGGAUUUAAUUAAUAGACAAAAUUUAGAUAAUCAACUUUAAAAAGUGUUAUUACCUUUUCAAACCAACUUGGAUUUUCAUAAUACUCUUCAGCUAUCUCAAUUAUAUAUUGAUCUUACAAAAUGUCAGGUUAUUUGGUAGUUUGAAUUAUUGCUGUCAAAUUUAAGGAUUUAAUCAAUAGGUAAAAAAGCUGGAACUUUCAUGUCGGACAAAAUUUAGAUAGUCAACUUUAAAAAUUUCUUUAACUUUUUCAAAUGAUUUUGGAUUUUAAUAAUACUCUUCAGUUAUCUUAAUUAUAUAUUGAUCUUACAAAAUGCCAGGUUAUUUGGUUGUUUGUUUUAUUACUGUCAAAUUUAAGGAUUUAAUCAAUAGGUAAAAAAGCUGGAAUUUUCAUGUCAGACAAAAUGUAGAUAGUCAACUUUAAAAAGUUCUAUAACUUUUUCAAAUCAACUUGGUUUUUGAAAAAACUUUACAGCUAUCUCAGUUGUAAAUUGAUCUUACAAAAUUCCAAGUUAUUUGAUUCAUUGCUGUCAAAUUUAAGGAUUUAGUUAAUUGAAUUAAAUAUGCUAUGAGUUAGGCUAAAAUGAUGUAAAGGUUUUUAACCUCGCUACGCUCUGAUGUAUUCAAUUUUAUGGAAUUAUGCCCAUAUGCUUUUGAAAAAUCCUGGAUCCGCCCCUAAAGAUAAGAGUACAUUUGAAAAUCCCUCCCUAUUAUUAUAGCACAAUAAGAACAAAGAGAUUUUGCCUUUGUCAUGUGUUAAUUUAAAUGUAAACUUUUUACUUUUUUUUGGGUGAAUUUUCUCUAAGCAUUUCUGUCCAAAUUCUUCCUAGUUUAAUUAAAUGGAAUAUAUUUCAUUGUUUCCUUAUGAAACUCUGCAGGGAGGUAAUGUUUAACAGAUUUAAUGUAUAGUAUGAUUUAUUUAUAGUUUUUUGGGGCAACAUUUGGAUUAAACCCAAUCAAUAUCAUUUAGUGGGAUUUUUUACAAUGAAGCUGGUUUCCAUUGAUUUUUUUAUGAACAGAUCUUAUUUGAUUAUUCAACCCCUUCUUAGUAGCUUUUACAAUUACAAAGUUGAAAUGUUUCACUAAUUAAACUAAUAUUCAUAAUCAAAGGAGAAGUUUUAAUUUGGCCACAAUUUAUGUCAAAAUUUACUUAUAUAUUGAAUUUAAUACCCAUAAAUUGAGAAAAUAAUCUUAAAUGAAAUGAACAUGUAUCAUAUAUGUAUUCCUUCAAACAUCAUUCUGCAAGGAGUAAAUUCAAUAAAUCCCAAACAUUGAACCUAUUUUUGUUAAAAAAUUUUCAACAUUUGACUUGCAUAUCUAGUUUGUCAGAAAAUGUUCUCUUUAUUUCCAAUUUCUUUUUUUGUUUGAAAUCAAGCAAAUUUUGUUAAAUUAAAUAAAAAUUCCUAAUUUUAUCCAAUUUUGGUGUCUAUUUCAAAAAGUUCUACAAAAAGCAUUCUAUUUCACUUUUUAUGCCCCCGUAGUAGUGGAAGGGGCAUUAACUUUUACCCUUGUCUGUCUGUGCGUCCGUACGUCCCAAAAUUGGUUUCCGUUCUGUAACUUUAGUUCGCCUCAACCAAAUGUUGUAAAACUUAUACACAAUGCUUAUUACCACAAAACACAGAUCAAGUUUAAAUUUGGGUGGCGUCAACCGUUCUAGAGUUAUUCCCCUUUACAAAUGGAAAAAUUGCUGUGUUUUUUGUUUCUGUUCUCUAACUUAAGUUUGCCUUAACCAAAUGUUAUGAAACUUAUAUAUACACAAAGCUUAUUAACACAAAACACAGAUCAAGUUUGAAUUUGGGUGGCGUAACUUUUACCGUUCUAGAGUUAUGCCCUUUACGAAUUGAAAAAUUGCUGAUUUUUUUGUUUCCAUUCUCUAACUUAAGUUUGCCUCAACCAAACGUUAAGGAAACUUAUACUCAAAGCUUAUUACCACCAAACACAGAUCAAGUUUGAAUUUAGGUGGUGUCACUUUUACCUUUCUUGAGUUAUGCCCCUUUACAAAUGGAAAAAUUGAUGAAUUUUUUGUUUCCAUUCUCUAACUUAAGUUUGCCUCAACCAAAUGUUAUGAAACUUAUACACAAUGCUUAUUACCACAAAACUCAGAUCAAGUACAAAUUUGGGUAGCCUCACUUUUGCUGUUCUUGAGUUAUGUCCCUAUAUACUGUUAUAUGCAAGUGGGGGCAUCAUCUGUGUCCCAUGGACACAUUCCCAAUUUAUUCACAUAUGUGUUUUUUCUAAAACUUGAAACGCUUUUCAUUUUGAAAUAUUGGACUUGCUAUUGAGGCCCUAAUCAAGCACUUAAACUUUCCUUUUAGAAAAGAAUAUGAUUUAUAUAAACCUAUGCAAUAUAAAUAUAAACACUGGUCCUGCUCCUAUAUAAGAUAUACAUGAUAUAACUUAAUCUUACAUGCGUUUUAUAAAGCUAAGGUGAGAGGUAGAAUUAGAAAUAUACUUAUGUAUGAUAUUGGAUAAACACACUGAUAAAGGUGAAUAGCUUGAAUGUACAUAUUUUCAAAUUUAUAAAUUUAAAAUGUCACCUUAUAAAAUGUAUUCACUGUUUGAUCUAUUGAAUAUAUGACUAUAAACACAGUUAAAAAUUAUGCUGUUCUCUUAUUGAAAAGAUGUUAUUUAUAUUCUCUGUCUUACACAUGAAUUACAUACUACUCUCAAAUUUGCAUACUUCAUUAAAGAUCUAGACCAAUUGUUAUCUGCUAUUUUAAAAUCCAAGAUUGAGGAAGACACCCGAGCUACCUUAAGAUGUGAAAUUCUAAGAUAUAUUCCAAAUUAAAAUUUUGACUAUGAUAUCACAGCUCACUACAUGGAAAUGUAAUCUUGUGAAACAUACAUUAUCAGGCAAGCAAAUCUGGUUUUGAUAGUUAAAUAAAGUGGUGGUCAAAUUUAUAUGAAAAUUAAUAAAAAUGUGACUUAUCUUUUUAUACUCGAAAUUUAUGUAACAAAGUAUGGUUGUCAUCUCAAUAUCGGACAGUAAUGAAUGACUGAAUAUUAUUGUGCAAAUAUGGCAUGGAGUUUAUUUUCUUCCAUGCUAAUUGAAUAAAAAAGGUAUAGUCAACUUUC